UACGUAGGGUCCGAGCGUUGUCCGGAAUUACUGGGCGUAAAGAGCUCGUAGGUGGUUUGUCGCGUUGUUCGUGAAAACUCACAGCUCAACUGUGGGCGUGCGGGCGAUACGGGCAGACUUGAGUACUGCAGGGGAGACUGGAAUUCCUGGUGUAGCGGUGGAAUGCGCAGAUAUCAGGAGGAACACCGGUGGCGAAGGCGGGUCUCUGGGCCGAUAUCGACGCUGAGGAGCGAAAGCGUGGGGAGCGAACAGG
rnacentral:rRNA from 1 species